GAUGAACGCUGGCGGCGUGCCUAAUACAUGCAAGUCGAGCGAACAGACGCGGAGCUUGCUCCUCAGACGAUAGCCGCGGACGGGUGAGUCACACGUGGAUACCCUCCCUAUCAGACUGGGAUAACUUCGGGAAACCGUAGCUAAUCCCGGAUAAUAUAUUGAUCCGCAUGGUUCUAUAGUGAAAGACGGUUUUGCUGUCACUUAUCGAUCGAUCAGCGCCGUAUUGGCUUGUUGGUAAGGUAACGGCUUGCCAAGGGACCGAUGGGUCAGCGACGGGAGAGGCGGAUCGGCCACCUUGGAGCGGAGACGCGCUCCAGAGGCCUACGGUAGGCAGCAGUAGGGAAUCGGCCGCAAUGGGCGAAAGCUUUACGGAGCAGCGCCGCGUGAGAUAUGAAGGCCCUGGGAUCGGAAAACUCGGUUAUUAGGUAUAAACAAAUUUGGAAGUAGCUAUGCACGUCGUGACGGUACCUAGUCAGGAAGCCACGGCUAACUACGUG
rnacentral:rRNA from 1 species